GAUGAACGCUGGCGGCGUGCCUAAUACAUGCAAGUCGAACGGACUGUUUUUCUUCGGAUGAACAGUCAGUGGCGUCCGGGUGAGUAACACGUAGGUGACCUGCCCCGAAGUGGGGAAUAACUACCCGAAAGGGUUGCUAAUUCCGCAUGUGCUCCUGCAUCCGUUUGUUGGAGUAAAGUCGCAAGACGCUUUGGGAGGGGCCUGCGGCCGAUUAGCUAGUUGGUGGGGUAAUGGCCUACCAAGGCGAAGAUCGGUAGCUGGUCUGAGAGGAUGAUCAGCCACACUGGCACUGAAACACGGGCCAGACUCCUACGGGUGGCUG
rnacentral:rRNA from 1 species